UCGUCGACGAACGAACAUCAAACCGAAGAGCGAUACCAGGCCGGCUGGUCCGGCCUGGUAACUCUAUUUACCAUCUGAGAAAAUAGAAAAAUUCGUCGACAGUCAAAAUUUUUUAAUUUAUCAACAAAAAUUUCUCCGCGUUAUUCAGUUAGUGAUCUAAUCGGAAGUGCUCCAAUUUUUUUCUGUCGCAGAUCGAGGCAAACAUCAAAGUCUAUAUCAACGCAAAUAAAUAAGCGGUUCUUGGACAUUUGGGACAAUCCACAUCAUCAGAGAUCUAAAAAUAAUGGACCACGCAAAGGAGCGGCGAGCCAGGGGGUGUCAUCAUCAGCAACAACAACUUUAAACAGCAGAGAAGCAAUAAACUGGAACCAACGAGUGCAGCUGACUUGCAGAUCUUAAAUUACACCAGAUUUCUGGAUUCAAACAAAAAUAGAAAUUCAAAGGAAAAAGCGUCUCCUCUCCUGGCAGUACGAAACAAUAUUUGAACUGAAGAAUUUCCUCCAGCAGAACACUUUAACUCAAGAGAAGAAAGCAUUAUAAUGACACACAAGGAGACGGACCAUAAAUCCAUUCAAAAGCAGAAAAAAAUCGCCAAUGACAAAAGAAGACAAUACUCUAAAUCAACGGAAGAAGAAAAAUUUUAGUGAAUUUCCAGAAUACUCUCAUGGACACAUAAAGAAAGUUCACACUGGACAAAUAAUCAUUAAUCUCUGCACUCGUGACAAGCAAUGGAAAAAAGCAGCAGCAGAAGAAGAAGAAGAAGAGAUCCCUACAUUCUGGCAGAACCGAAAAUAUUUUCAGCUACAAAAUAGAGGCUCAACUUCCAAAAGAUGAUUCCAGUAUCGUUCCUUGAAUAUGGUUUUUUUUUGGUUCACGCAAAUACUCUGCAAACGGAAAAAAACAAUUUUUAAUUUCUCGAAAAUUAAAUCCACAAAUACAGGAUUCAAAAAGUACAGAAGAAUUUUUUUUUUCAAAACCAGUGGCUUCAGUCAAAAAUUAAAGGAUCGAUCACCUAGCCUACUAGAAUGUCUUCGCUUUCGGAACGCGAGGUUACGAGGACGAUUCGUCGUGAGAAGCGUUCUUCGAAGCACGUACAAAACACCGAAAAAAAUGCCAAAUAAAAAUAGCAGCUUUUUCUUAAUUUACAGUCGAAAGCCUCUUUUCGUUUUCUAAGCCACAAUUACCAGCAAACAAAUUUACAAAAACCAAGUGACAAAACUCUGUUCAAGCACAGUUGGUCUACCAGCCAAACUACUGCGAAUCAGAAACAAUUUUCUCCGUCACCGACAGAAACCAAAAAAAAAAUAUACCAACCAAAAAAAAAUAACCGGAAAUCAACGAAGAGGCCCUAGCACGCCGAAUCGUUCCAGAAAAAAAUUUAACUUCCCCCAACCCCCCCCCAAAAAAACAAAAUCAGCAAACGGAAAUUGAAA